CCCUUAGAUGUUCUGGGUCGCACGCGCGCUACACUGAUGAAUUCAACGAGCUCCUAACCUAGGCCGAAGGGUCCGGGUAAUCUUUGAAAUUUCAUCGUGAUGGGGAUAGAUUAUUGCAAUUAUUAAUCUUCAACGAGGAAUUCCUAGUAAGCGCGAGUCAUCAGCUCGCGUUGAUUACGUCCCUGCCCUUUGUACACACCGCCCGUCGCUCCUACCGAUUGAAUGGUCCGGUGAAAUGUUCGGAUCGCGGCAAAUCGGACGGGUAACCGUCAGGUUCGCUGCGAGAAGUUCAUUAAACCUUAUCAUUUAGAGGAAGGAGAAGUCGUAACA
rnacentral:rRNA from 1 species